AAGAAAUUAGUUAAAUUAUAAUAUUAGCUUGUCAAGCUAAAGUUAUUUAUUAUGUAAAUAUUUCUUA
rnacentral:tRNA from 1 species